rnacentral:rRNA from 1 species
UACGUAGGGUGCGAGCGUUGUCCGGAUUUAUUGGGCGUAAAGGGCUCGUAGGCGGCGUGUCGCGUCGGGAGUGAAAGCCCGUUGCUUAACGGCGGGUUGGCUUUCGGUACGGGCAUGCUGGAGUGCGGCAGGGGAGACUGGAAUUCCUGGUGUAGCGGUGGAAUGCGCAGAUAUCAGGAAGAACACCCGCUGGCUAAGGCGGCUCUCUAGUACGUGACUGACGCUGAGACGCGAAAGCGUGGGGAGCGAACAGG